CUUUCUCUUUCCCUCUCUUUCUCUCCCUUGCUUCUUUUCCUCCAGCUUCUCUCUCUCUUUCUCUAUUUCUCUGUUUCAAGUGUUUAUGGUGAGAAUUAAGUAUGACUAUGAAGACUCUCCAAACAAGCACUGGUCUGAGGAAUGAGCUUGUUGCCUGCUCCAUGGUGAUGAGCACAAGGAGCCAGCAAUGGGUAGAUGGGAAAACCUUAAUCAAAUAACAGUUUUGGAAGAAUUCCACAUUGAGACUUUCUCUCUGUAUAGGAUUACACAAGUCUGUGAUUUUUCAAGGAAAAAGGUCCUAAAG
rnacentral:lncRNA from 12 species